ACCAUCCUUCUCUUGGGGUGAGCUACUGACCAAUGAACGAUAAGUGAGGUCUGUACUGCUAACACCAUGAACAACACUUAAGUGCCGCUAGUGUGAAAAACACUAGAUGGGUACAAUUUUUGGAAAC